UGUUGCAGCUGUUUGGACUGCUGCAGCUGCAAUCCAUAGAGAGAAAAAUACUGUAGAAGCCGCAGCCGCAGCCGGAUUGCAGCCGCAGCAAGCCGCAGCGAACAAGCUGUUUAUCCAUGGGCGUCGAACAACAGAGACACAAGCCUGCCAAACCAAACCAGCCUUCCGCCGGAUUGGAAACUACCAGAUGCUACCAGCGCUACUAAUCCAGCGUCUCCCACCGUAGGAAUCUCUCAAUUAGCGACCCGUGUCCUGUUGCACAAUUAUAUAGCCACCAUUUGAGAAGAUAGGGGGGAGGUGGAGCAGAGCGCAAGGAGAGGGGACAAGGAGGGACGGGAAGGGGAAUAAGCUGAGGGGAAGGCAAGGCAAGCAGGAAUCGGCUGGGUUGCGCGCCGACUUCCUGGCCGAGUUUUUCUAGCCAUCGGAUCGAGGCAGUCCCAUCGGCGAAGACCCGGUUCCGUUCGGCGGCCAUGCGGUUGGUUUCUCUGCUUGGUCUGUCAGGACUCUGAUGGGCAUGGUUCAUCCUAGGUUUCUGGUUGCUUGCUCGGGGUCCAAGCUGUGCUUCAUCUCCAGUUGCCGCGGUAGCAGCGCAAAGAUGAUGAUGUCCUUUCUCCGGAGGCGUCCGGAGCGUCGUUCCACGCUUCCUAUAUUGAUUGAGUUCGGUAGAUGAUUCUUGGACAUCGGUUUGGUGUUCGGUGGGGCUCAAAUACGGAUUCUGAAGGACUUCAAAGGUGCUUGAAUCAGUACAUCUUAGGUGCUAUCCCAGACUAGGCUGCGAUGGGUUUACCCCAACCUUCAACAGUCGAGGAUGAUGCGCCAACAGCACUGCGCACCUCUAUUUCUUGCCCUCCACAUUCUGGAGGAGUUAGUGCCUGUGAUUUGGAUGGGCUUCCUGCGGGAAGCUCUAGCAGAAGGGUGCUUUCGUACCCAUUGAUAUGUGAUUUUGAUAGAAAGGCCACAUUAGAUGCUCCUAAUGAAUCAAAUGGGUAUUCUAAAGACGGAUGUGAAUUUGGCGAACCCGCAGACCUCCAUGGACUAAACAUUGAUUCAAGAAAUACAAAUUCUUGGUCUUCUCCUAAAUUAGUGCCUUCUGUCCAUAUGCCGGCAAGGAGGGUUGUGGGCUUUGAUUCUGGUUGUAUUGGAGGUUCUGAUGGGGCAGAAACGGAUAUGGUCGAUUCAUCUUUGGUCGACAGAAAUUCUCAUUUGCCAUUUGAUCAGCAUGAACUUCAAGCAAGGAAAAGACUGUUCUCUCCAUUGAAAAAUGUGCUCGUUAAACAGUUCAAUGGUGAUAUGCUCAACCUUCCUUCUGGUGAUUCUAGAUUUAGGCAUUCUGAUUCAGCCGAUAAACUAUACAGUACUGGUUUCCAAGAUAAUAAAAAAGCCAACACGGGAUGCAUCAAUUUUUUUGAAACGCGGGAUACUCCAGCCUCUAGGUGCUCCAGCCGGAGCCCAGAAUGGGAUGUUACUAGGAGCAAUUCUAAUUCAUUCACUGAUGGUCCUUUACUUGGGAGCAAGGAUUAUAUAUCCUAUUAUGAUCAUCUAGCAGCUAGUGCAAAAUUAGCGCACUCUCCGCUUUCUCUGUCUCCUCUCAGCCCUAAAUAUAUGAACAAAAUUAAAGUGACAGGAUCUCAAAGAUAUAUAAUGAAAGAUCUUGAGGAUGACUUCCUAGAUUUAAAGGAAACUGGAGGUUCUGGCGGAGCUAGGAUGCCGGAGGUAUCAAAAGGAUCUAACUUGUUACAUGAUGAACUUGAUGUUAUGACACCUAAAUGGGGUUCAUUGAGAAGAUAUCAAAAUUGGGGCCCUGAAUCUUCCCCUACAUCUCCCAGAAUUGGUUAUGGUCGGAGUUUGUCUUUGCAUGUAAGGAGGUCACUUGUUGGCUCCUUUGAGGAGUCUCUUUUAUCUGGUCGAUACUCGUAUGGAAAAGACAGUCAGACAAUUGAUGGUUUCUUAGCUGUUCUAAAUGUCACUGGUGGUAGUUUCUUCCCCACAACUCAGAAACUUCCAUUCUCAGUAACAAGCAUCGAUGAGGAUAGCUCCUUACUAUACUAUUCUUCUAUUGAUCUUGCUGGGAGGUUGCCUUCGAAUAACACCAAAAGCCCAAAGCUCCAAAGAAGCUACAGUAAUAAUGAUUCGCGGUCAGCAAAGAGUCGUUUACGCAUCCCUGUUAAGGGUCGCAUACAGCUGGUGGUAAGCAACCCAGAGAAGACUCCACUUCAUACUUUCUUCUGCAACUAUGACUUGAGUGACAUGCCUCCUGGAACCAAGACUUUCGUGCGGCAAAAGGUCACUCUCUCCCCCUCUGCCUUGCCUUCUAAUCCAGUGGAAGAAGGAAGCAAGACUUGUGAUGUUAAUUCUGGUCACAAAUCUUCUCAGUCAGUUUCAUGUGGAAAUGAACCUAGCGAACGGGGAGCUCGUUCUGAAUGCUGCAACGGUGGACAGAACUGCAACUCAAAUGAUGAAUCAGAAAAAGGAGAUCUGAAAACAAGAUGUCGAUCAUUGGAUAGUGAUUCUAAUGAAUCAAAUAAGUCUAGUUCUCCAGGAAAUAAGAAAGACCAGUCUGAUUCUGAUGGUUGCUGCUGUCAAAUGGAUAAGUUUGGCAUGGGAGAAAAGAAAUCAUGCUGCUCACCUUCUAAGAUCAAUGAUAGUUCAGGUGGAGCUGUGCUUCGUUAUGCUUUGCACCUGCGAUUUCUGUGCCCCUCCAAGAAAAAAUCCUCGAAAUCAAUGCUUCGUUGCAAAUCUGAUCUAUCAACGGCACCAUAUAGCAGCAAUACGCUACCUGAGGAAGAACGGAGGUUCUAUCUCUACAAUGAUCUUAGAGUUGUAUUUCCUCAAAGGCACUCAGAUGCAGAUGAAGGCGAGCUGCGAGUGGAGCAUGAUUUCCCCGCCGAUCCCAAGUACUUUGACAUAAGCAACUGAUGGUUGCGCUGCUGCACCGGACAAUAAUAAUCUGUAAAUAUGUUAUCAUGACUAACUUGGUCACCAGCCGUUUCAUCUUUUCACCAACAAAUGUACAGGUACUGGGAUCGCCAUUGGGUCCUCGAUCCUCGUUGGGGUUAGGCACGGAGAAAAUUCCUUCUCUGUGGUAGGGAACAAGGACAAGGGUGCAUGGAUUUUCUUCAAAGGUCUUGUUUAGAUACUCUAGUAUGCAUCACAAUCCACAGGUCUUGUUUAGAUACUCUAGUAUGCAUCACAAUCCACAUAUGUUGAGGUGCAUUGGAAUGUAAAAUUAAAUUAAUUUAUACUCCAAUCCAUAUCAAUACAUAUGGAUUUGGGUGGAUACUAGAGUACCCAAACAAAGCAUAAAUGGGGCGGUUACGAGGAGACAUUCCUAGCAGGAAUUUCCCUUUUUCAUCUCGAAUUACCCUAAGAUGGGUAAGAGUUUGAA